rnacentral:rRNA from 1 species
UACGGGGGGGGCAAGCGUUGUUCGGAAUUACUGGGCGGAAAGCGCGUGUAGGCGGUUCGUAAAGUCGGAUGUGAAAGCCCUGGGCUUAACCCAGGAAGUGCAUUCGAAACUCACGAACUUGAGUCCCGGAGAGGAAGGCGGAAUUCUCGGUGUAGAGGUGAAAUUCGUAGAUAUCGAGAGGAACAUCUGUGGCGAAGGCGGCCUUCUGGACGGUGACUGACGCUGAGACGCGAAAGCGUGGGAAGCAAACAGG